AUUGAACGCUGGCGGCAGGCCUAACACAUGCAAGUCGAACGAGUGGCGGACGGGUGAGUAAUGUCUGGGAAACUGCCCGAUGGAGGGGGAUAACUACUGGAAACGGUAGCUAAUACCGCAUACCAUCGGAUGUGCCCAGAUGGGAUUAGCUAGUAGGUGGGGGAACGGAUCACCUAGGCGACGAUCCCUAGCUGGUCUGAGAGGAUGACCAGACACACUGGAACUGAGACACGGGCCAGACUCCUACGGGAGGCAGCAGUGGGGAAUAUUGCACAAUGGGCGCAAGUCUGAUGCAGCCAUGCCGCGUGUAUGAAGAAGGCCUUCGGGUUGUAAAGUACUUUCAGCGAGGAGGCGUUACUCGCAGAAGAAGCACCGGCUAACUCCGUGCCAGCAGCCGCGGUAAUAC
rnacentral:rRNA from 1 species